UUUGGUCGCCAACGAGUGGCGGACGGGUGAGUAACACGUAGGUAACCUGCCCAGAAGCGGGGGACAACAUUUGGAAACAGAUGCUAAUACCGCAUAACAGCGUUGUUCGCAUGAACAACGCUUAAAAGAUGGCUUCUCGCUAUCACUUCUGGAUGGACCUGCGGUGCAUUAGCUUGUUGGUGGGGUAACGGCCUACCAAGGCGAUGAUGCAUAGCCGAGUUGAGAGACUGAUCGGCCACAAUGGGACUGAGACACGGCCCAUACUCCUACGGGAGGCAGCAGUAGGGAAUCUUCCACAAUGGGCGCAAGCCUGAUGGAGCAACACCGCGUGAGUGAAGAAGGGUUUCGGCUCGUAAAGCUCUGUUGUUAAAGAAGAACACGUAUGAGAGUAACUGUUCAUACGUUGACGGUAUUUAACCAGAAAGUCACGGCUAACUACGUGCCAGCAGCCGCGGUAAUACGUAGGUGGCAAGCGUUAUCCGGAUUUAUUGGGCGUAAAGAGAGUGCAGGCGGUUUUCUAAGUCUGAUGUGAAAGCCUUCGGCUUAACCGGAGAAGUGCAUCGGAAACUGGAUAACUUGAGUGCAGAAGAGGGUAGUGGAACUCCAUGUGUAGCGGUGGAAUGCGUAGAUAUAUGGAAGAACACCAGUGGCGAAGGCGGCUACCUGGUCUGCAACUGACGCUGAGACUCGAAAGCAUGGGUAGCGAACAGGAUUAGAUACCCUGGUAGUCCAUGCCGUAAACGAUGAGUGCUAGGUGUUGGAGGGUUUCCGCCCUUCAGUGCCGGAGCUAACGCAUUAAGCACUCCGCCUGGGGAGUACGACCGCAAGGUUGAAACUCAAAGGAAUUGACGGGGGCCCGCACAAGCGGUGGAGCAUGUGGUUUAAUUCGAAGCUACGCGAAGAACCUUACCAGGUCUUGACAUCUUGCGCCAACCCUAGAGAUAGGGCGUUUCCUUCGGGAACGCAAUGACAGGUGGUGCAUGGUCGUCGUCAGCUCGUGUCGUGAGAUGUUGGGUUAAGUCCCGCAACGAGCGCAACCCUUGUUACUAGUUGCCAGCAUUAAGUUGGGCACUCUAGUGAGACUGCCGGUGACAAACCGGAGGAAGGUGGGGACGACGUCAGAUCAUCAUGCCCCUUAUGACCUGGGCUACACACGUGCUACAAUGGACGGUACAACGAGUCGCGAACUCGCGAGGGCAAGCAAAUCUCUUAAAACCGUUCUCAGUUCGGACUGCAGGCUGCAACUCGCCUGCACGAAGUCGGAAUCGCUAGUAAUCGCGGAUCAGCAUGCCGCGGUGAAUACGUUCCCGGGCCUUGUACACACCGCCCGUCACACCAUGAGAGUUUGUAACACCCAAAGUCGGUGGGGUAACCUUU
rnacentral:rRNA from 1 species